CGCCGCUGUCUCGCUCCCUCCCUCCGCAGCUUGACCCGGUAGUGAAGGCAGAGAGAGAGGCAGGCUGGGUCCGCCUGGCAGCCUACGGGAGGAGGCGGGAGCCGGGAAGGAGGGAGCCGAGGCCCGGCGUGGGGAGGCCGGCAGGAAGGGCCUUGAGCCCGGUGCGGACCUUUCUUCAGCACGGCCGAGCGGUGCGCUAGGCUGCUGUGCCAGGAGGACGCCGCGACUUCCUCAGACGUGGGUUCGGACCGAACAGAAAUAGCGGGACCGGGACAGUUGGCGCGCUUGGCGUCUGGUACCACAUUUCGAGCGCGGGGAGCCUCUUGGCGCCAGAUUCUGCCGUGAGAACGAGCUGGGGUUGGGGGGCCGGCGUGGAAUUGCGGGAGAAGGCCCAGGAGCCGGGAAGCCGUGCUGAGGGGACAAGUUCAUGUGGAGAGAGGUUUCAUCUCGUCACUUAUGCGAUCACUUGUUCCUCGCAAAGUUCUCAGAAUUCCCCUCCGAGAAGGGGAAAGUUGGAGAACUGCAGGCCGGUUACUCUAACUCCGGGGAGAAGGUGAAGCGGCGGCGCCGGCCCCGCCCGCGCGCUCGGCGGGACGGGAGCUUAGCCGAGGGCUGGGGUUGUCUGGUGAGCGGCGAUUCUAGGGCACAGGGGAAGGGGCUUCACUUUUCCUCAAUAAAAGCGGGAAGAAAGGGGCUUUGGGAGUGGGGGUGUUGGAGGGGGAGGUUGCAGUGAGCGGCCUUCUCAGAGAAAUGGUCAGUUUAACCCAGGACCCUGCUGCGGAGGGAAGGCAGAGGCACGCCCUGGCCGGGAAAACCGCCGGAGUCAGGCUUGCACCUGGGGAAGACACGAGGAAGACCUAGCCCAACAACCCACUGCUACAGAGAAAGGGAAGAAGGCUCCGAGGGUGAAAAGAGCGGCACAAUCGGGCUGGAAUUCGGUCGCUGCCCCCCAAACAGGGUUCUUUUCCCUUCACCAAGUUUUCAUCCUGGAGGAGAGUUAAGGACAGAAGCACGAGGAUACAAGAGGGCUGCUGAUUUUCAUUGGAAUGCUAAUUUCCUGUGAGACACUAGGAGUGAUUUUUUUUAAUUCCUUUAACUGCCUACAGUACAGCUGAAGGAGAAACUAUCUUGCCACCAUGAUUUGACAAGCAUGAAGAUAAAAGCUUCUCUAUAAGGAUGAUGGAGCAAUAAAAAAGAAUGGGCCUAGA